CUCUGGACCAGUCCCAGGCAUAACACAGAUCAGCUUCGGGGCCAACAGUUUCCAAUGGGCUGUUCCAGCAGUUCUAGGAUGCUUGAGCUUCCAAGGUAGCAAGGGAAGGAGGAGAAUGAGGCCUCUUAGAGAAGGACCAGAUGCUGGAUAUCUCUGAGACAUGCUAGACCGCUCAAGCAUCAGCUUCCUUCCUACGUGGAAUCUUAUGUGGAAAGAUAAGCUUGGAGUUUUAAACUUCAGAAUGUAAUUUGAAAAACUUGAUGUGGAAGUGAAGUAAUGAGUCAAUCUCAAGUGGUUUGGUGUUUGAAUUCACUUUUAGAUAAUAUCCAGAAGUCUGAACUAUUUGAACUUACAUGAGUCUGUAAAAUUAAGCUGAAAAUCUGUUUCUUACAAGACUUGUGGUAUUUACAUUAUUGGCCUGAAGUACACUAUCACCACAGCCACUUUUCUCAUGGGAUUUUGACACCUCCAGGUCCAAUAGCAACUGGAAAGCAGAAGUGAAAAAAUUACUAUCAUCUGGAUAUUUCAGAACUGCAACAAAUUAUUGAUUCCAGGUGUGCCUUGAAGGAGAUAGUGGGGUCUAGCUUCACUCCAAGGUAGAAAGGAUUUCAGCCGUGGGCAAGUGGUAUCCAGUUCCAGAUUAUGUCAUGUUAUUUAUUGGCUUCAUGAUUCUAAAGAUGGAAGAGACUCACUUGUGUUUUAGCUGAAUUGGUGCACAAUUGGAUCUUGAUGUAAUAGACUGAGAGCCCAGACAACACCGAUGUUAAUAUAACCUCGAUCUGGGUGAGAACCUUGGCUUGGUCGUUGGCAUAGUUAAAACUUUUUGUGCUGAGAUGGAUUGGUUGAUCAUUCUUGUAAAUGUUGAAGAGUAUUGGUCAUAGGAGGAGCGUUCACAUCCUGGCUCCUACCAGAUCCUCUGAAUCUGAAUUCUGCUAAACACCUACCUCAUUGAUGAUGAUUUUAACUGAGAAGCCAGUGCUCAUAAUUUGGUUACUUCAUAAACAAUGUGACAGAUAAUAUUAUGAAAUUAUUCACAACACAGUGGUAAAACAUGAAAUAACCAUUUUUUGAAAAUGUGAAGUGGUAGAAAGUUCAUAUCUGGAUAUAAAAUACACUUUCUCACAGCUACUUAUAGGGAUUACCAUUAUUAAUUUGUGUUUUUCCAGGAUGAGUUUGCCUUUCCAAACUGCAUUUGAUGACUGUAAAAUUUUUCUUUUUCUCUGGAGAUAUAUAAAGGGUCAACAUAAGCUUUGGCAUAAAGUCACAUGAACAUUUAUGAAGUCAGCCAGCUUCUUUAAUACUGUUUAAUUAAACUUCUAAAUCCACUGUUUUGGACCACUUGUAUCUGUGUCUGUCAUGAAUAUAUAAAAAAAUCUAUGGCUGGCCUCAUGAUCAUCACUAUUGUACAAUGCAAACUGCAGUCAUUUGAAAUUUCAUAGUGACCUAAGGGAUAGAACUUUGAUGGUCAGAAAAGACAGGCUUCUCCUACUUGAGCUAAAGCAUUAUGUCUGUUAGCAAUAUAGAGCCUGUCACAUAGAUGAUCAUUUCUGAUUUUAUCCAGUAGAUGGCAUUGAUAUACAUUCACAAUAGCGUGUUCAUUAUCCAUGACCAGUUCUAUCUUCUUGUUCUGAAAAUCCUAAAUGAGAGAAUACUG